AGCAGCCGCGGUAAUUCCAGCUCCAAUAGCGUAUAUUAAAGUUGUUGCAGUUAAAAAGCUCGUAGUUGAAUUUCGGAAUCUGUCCGUUGGUCGGGCUUAAUUGUCCGUACUGAUGUGAUGGGUUCUUACCUUCUGAAUAACCAGCAUGUCAUUAAUUUGGUGUGUUGGGGAAGCAGGACUAUUACCUUGAAAAAUUAGAGUGCUCAAAGCAGGCUAGCGCCUGAAUACAUUAGCAUGGAAUAAUAAAAUAGGACGGCAUGGUUCUAUUUUGUUGGUUUCUAGGAUCACCGUAAUGAUUAAUAGGGAUAGUUGGGGGCAUUAGUAUUCAAUUGUCAGAGGUGAAAUUCUUGGAUUUAUUGAAGACUAACUUCUGCGAAAGCAUUUGCCAAGGAUGUUUUCAUUAAUCAAGAACGAAAGUUAGGGGAUCGAAGACGAUCAGAUACCGUCGUAGUCUUAACCAUAAACUAUGCCGACUAGGGAUCGGACGAUGUUAAUUUUAUAAUGACUCGUUC
rnacentral:rRNA from 1 species